GACGUAGGAGGCGAGCGUUGUCCGGAUUCAUUGGGCGUAAAGAGCACGCAGGCGGUUUGGCAAGUCGGAUGUGAAAACCCGAAGCUCAACUUCGGGCCUGCAUCCGAAACUGCCCGACUAGAGGUAGGUAGGGGAGAUCGGAAUUCCUGGUGUAGCGGUGAAAUGCGCAGAUAUCAGGAAGAACACCCGUGGCGAAGGCGGCUCUCUGGGACGGUACUGACGGCUGAGACGCGAAAGCGUGGGGAGCGAACAGG
rnacentral:rRNA from 1 species